rnacentral:rRNA from 1 species
AACUACGUGCCAGCAGCCGCGGUAAUACGUAGGGGGCAAGCGUUAUCCGGAAUUCACUGGGCGUAAAGGGUGCGUAGGCGGCUUAGCAAGCCAGGGGUGAAAGGCAUUGGCUCAACCAAUGUAAGCCUUUGGAACUGUUAAGCUUGAGUGCAGGAGAGGUAAGUGGAAUUCCUAGUGUAGAGGUGAAAUUCGUAGAUAUUAGGAGGAACACCAGUGGCGAAGGCGACUUACUGGACUGUAACUGACGCUGAUGCACGAAAGCGUGGGUAGCGAACAGGAUUAGAUACCCUGGUAG